GGGCCCGCACAAGCAGUGGAGCAUGUGGUUUAAUUCGAAGCAACGCGCAGAACCUUACCACCACUUGACAUUACCAUCGCGAUUUCCGGAGACGGAUUUCUUCAGUUCGGCUGGAUGGAUAACAGGUGCUGCAUGGCUGUCGUCAGCUCGUGUCGUGAGAUGUUGGUUAAGUCCCGCAACGAGCGCAACCCUCGCCUUUAGUUGCCAGCAGUUCGGCUGGGCACUCUAGAGGAACCGCCGGUGAUAAGCCGGAGGAAGGUGGGAUGACGUCAAGUCCUCAUGGCCCUUACGUGGUGGGCUACACACGUGCUACAAUGGCAGUGACAAUGGGAAGC
rnacentral:rRNA from 1 species